CGCGGCCUAUCAGCUUGUUGGUGAGGUAACGGCUCACCAAGGCAACGACGGGUAGCUGGUCUGAGAGGACGAUCAGCCACACUGGGACUGAGACACGGCCCAGACUCCUACGGGAGGCAGCAGCAGGGAAUAUUGCACAAUGGGCGAAAGCCUGAUGCAGCGACGCCGCGUGGGGGAUGAAGGCCUUCGGGUUGUAAACCCCUUUCAGGAGGGACGAAGCGAAAGUGACGGUACCUCCAGAAGAAGCCCCGGCCAACUACGUGCCAGCAGCCGCAGUAAUACGUAGGGGGCGAGCGUUGUCCGGAUUUAUUGGACGUAAAGAGCUCGUAGGCGGCUCAACGAGUCAGCCGUGAAAGCCCGAGGCUUAACCUCGGGACGCCGGUCGAAACUGUUGUGGCUAGGGUCCGGUAGAGGAGAGUGGAAUUCCCGGUGUAGCGGUGAAAUGCGCAGAUAUCGGGAGGGACACCAGUAGCGAAGGCGGCUCUCUGGGCCGGCACCGACGCUGAGGAGCGAAAGCUAGGGGAGCAAACAGGAUUAGAUACCCUGGUAGUCCUAGCCGUAAACGAUGGGUACUAGGUGUGGCGGAUUCAUUGACAUCUGCCGUGCCGAAGCUAACGCAUUAAGUACCCCGCCUGGGGAGUACGG
rnacentral:rRNA from 1 species